CCCCCCCCCCCCCAUCAUAAUCUAAAAUCAAUAGCAGUUACAUCAGUGACAAUAACAUGCAAUUGAUAUACUUACAGCAUUGGACUAGCAACCCCCAAACUACAAACCCCAUUUAACCCACCCCAAAAACUACAACCCAACGGCCCCACCUUAACACAAUCCUUAAAUAGUCAGCUCAUUCAAAAACAAGUCUCUCGCUUAACUCAAUUUCCCUCUGGACUAGCUGAAGACAUGAAUUCAACCCGUACUAGGGAGAAGAUCUCAUUCAGUCACCAACUCCAGUUUCAUCACCAUAUGUUUAUAUACAGGAGGACUUCCUAACGUACAGCAAGCUGACUGAUUUGAAUGACUGCAUAGUGAAAAUGAUAUUUGGUUUUACUUACAGAUGGGGCGAUGACACACCCUCCCACCGCACCCCCAAGCAGUGAUUUGGCUUGGUUGUGUGUUGGGGAAGUCAAGCCUGAUCCCAGAUCUGUCAGUGCCGUCUUGCAAACUCCUAAUGCUCAGGCUAGGAAAAGGGGACGGGGGUUGUCUUCUCUACCUGGCUUUGACUCUGCAGGAGGGGAGGCAGCAGUCAGGAGCAACGAGAGGGCCUUGUGUGACACCCUCCACCAACACCUACCACCUUUGGUUUGCCAAAACUGUGGAGCCGCUAGAAGAUGGAACAGCAGAAAGAAUGAAAUAAAGAAGAGGGGUGAAGCUCUACUCUCCCUCGUGUCUGUCUGUCCUGAUCCAGACUCAAUCAAAAUGGAUCAACCAGACUCAAUCAAUCAAUCAAUCCACCGAGCCAGUCUGUCUGUCUAGGGAUAAAGGCCUACUCCGUGUCUCCGUCCCUCUCUGGGGUCUCCCGGCUGCAGGCUGGGGCGGGGCCAGUGGCUGGGGGCUACCUGCUGAAGAGCGAGUGGAGCUGGUGCUGGCUGUAACAUUGGCUGCUGCGCGGCGACUCAGUGCGCUCCAUCACCGCCUGGAACCAGCCUGCCACGUCCACCACCA
rnacentral:lncRNA from 13 species